UAGAGAUAGUUUAAUUUAGAAUUUUUGAUUGUUGAUCAUAAGGUAUUUUCUUUAAG
rnacentral:tRNA from 1 species